rnacentral:rRNA from 1 species
CCCUUAGAUGUUCUGGGCUGCACGCGCGCUACACUGAUGCGUUCAACGAGUUUAUGACCUUGCCCGAUAGGGUUGGGUAAUCUUUUUAAAUCGCAUCGUGAUGGGGAUAGAUUAUUGCAAUUAUUAAUCUUCAACGAGGAGUUCCUAGUAAGCGCGCGUCAUCAGCUCGUGCUGAUUACGUCCCUGCCCUUUGUACACACCGCCCGUCACUCCUACCGAUUGAGUGAUCCGGUGAAUAAUUCGGACUGCAGCAGUGUUCAGUUCCUGAACGUUGCAGCGGAAAGUUUAGUGAACCUUAUCACUUAGAGGAAGGAGAAGUCGUAACA